UACGUAGGGUGCAAGCGUUUAAUCGGAAUUACUGGGCGUAAAGCGUGCGCAGGCGGUUUUGUAAGACUGUCGUGAAAUCCCCGGGCUCAACCUGGGAAUGGCGAUGGUGACUGCAAGGCUAGAGUUUGGCAGAGGGGGGUAGAAUUCCACGUGUAGCAGUGAAAUGCGUAGAUAUGUGGAGGAACACCGAUGGCGAAGGCAGCCCCCUGGGUCAAAACUGACGCUCAUGCACGAAAGCGUGGGGAGCAAACAGG
rnacentral:rRNA from 1 species